rnacentral:ncRNA from 1 species
CUGAAGGGUUAUGUUGGGAGUCAAAUGAGGAGGUAAGUCUCUGAAAGGCUUUCCCUGCGUCGAAUAGCACGCUAUUUGGUAAGAAAUUGUGUGUUAUAAGCUCGGCCAAUAGGCGUGAGAAUUUACCGUAACAGUUUGGCUGACGAAAGCCUACCCGAUGGGGUGGUGUAAAUCAUGGUGCUUGGGUUGAACAA